UUCUAUGGGCGGGUCGUGGUGGGAGAGCCGCAAGGCUCGCUGGUUUGGUUUAGUGCCAGUCUGUCAAUCCCGCCACGUGCCCGCUCACCCCU
rnacentral:antisense_RNA from 1 species